GACGAACGCUGGCGGCGUGCUUAACACAUGCAAGUCGAACGGAAAGGCCCUGCUUUUGUUCCGUUCUCGUUUGGCGCACGCGUGAGUAUCACAUGAGUAUCCUCUCCUUAUCUUAGUGAUAUCACCAGGAAACUCGGGCUAUUAUCCCAUAGGAUCUCCUGCAGCAUGUUGGUGGAUGGAAAGUUUCGGCGUUUGUGGAUGGACUCGCUGCUUCUCCGCCUGUUGGUGUGGUAGUGGCUUUCCAAGGGUUUGACGGGUAGCCGGCCUGAGAGGGUUACCGGGCACAAGGGGACUGAGAGACGGACCAGACUCCUACGGGCGGCAGCAGUGGAGAACAUUGCAGAAUGGGCGGAAGUCAGAGGCAGAAACGCCGCGUGCGGGAUGACGGCCUUCGGGUUGUAAACAGCUGUCGCAUGUGACGAAGCGGGAGUGACGGUAAUGGGUAAAGAAGCAACGGCUAACUACGUG
rnacentral:rRNA from 1 species